rnacentral:rRNA from 1 species
GACGAACGCUGGCGGCGUGCCUAACACAUGCAAGUCGAACGGAACGGUCCUGCUUUUGUGGGGUGCUCGAGUGGCGAACGGGUGAGUAACCCGUGAGUAACCUGCCCUUGACUUUGGGAUAACUUCAUGAAACUUGGGCUCAUACCGGCUAGGAGCUCCUGCUUCAUGGUGGGGGCUGGAAAGUUUCGGCGGUUGGGGAUGGACUCGCGGCCUAUCAGAUUGUUGGUGGGGUAGUGGAUUACCAAGCCCUUGACCGGUAGCCGGGCUGAGAGGCUCACCGGCCACGCUAGGACUGAAAUACGGCCCAGACCCGUACCGGAGGCAACGGUGGGGAGGAGUGUACAAGGGACGGAGGCAUGGUGCAGCACAGCAGCGUGGGGGGAGAGGGGCAUGCGUUUGUAAUCCACUUCUGUCUUUCCCGGGGCGAUAAUGACGGUACCGGGUAAAGAAGCACCGGCUAACUACGUG